GUCCUUGCUCCCUGGGAUGGUCCCUCUGACAGGCUGCGCGGGUCCAGCCCCUGUCCUUUUCCAGGGCUGCAAACGUGUAUCUCUGAGCACUGUGUGUAUUUCUGCAUUUUUGAAACAGGUGCUGUUUCGUUGUACCUACGCUUUUAUAUCCUAACUGUUCACCCACGUGUUUGUGUAUGUGCACGUCAGCGUGUCGUUUAGAUCAUCCUCUUAACUGCGCACUGUUCUAGUAUAGAACCCGUCACCCUUUCGCUAGGGUGUGUCGAUCCCCUUUUAAAAGCAAAGCCUUUGCCAAUGCCGAUGCUUCCCUCUGAUUAUAGGAAAAAGACCGCAGAUACGCUCAUUACGUGGAAAACUUUUAAGCUCAGAGACCUGGAAGAGAAAACACGGAUGACCUUGUGUCCACUCUACCCCUAACUACCACUGCCAUCUGGUGGUUUCUGUCUUUUAACAUGUACGUCAUUUAUAUAAACGUCUCUUAGUUUGUGUUUUGCCGGGUCGUUAAAACUUUAACGAUAUGAUCUUCGUAUUGUGUAAACCCGUCUUGGGUACGUGUUAUAACCCUAUAUAAUUGACGAGACGGUCCCCUGUUUUCCAGUAUCUUCUUACUCUAAGUAACCUAAUCAUUGACUCCCUGCCUGUUCCUUCUCUGGAAAUUCUGCGGCUCCCUCCCUGCUCUCAGGGCUUCAUUGACGGCUUCCCACUGGCGUUACCUGCCACCAACCACGCCUCGCUGCCUGCUGAGCGGGUCCUCCGGGGGUGCGAUCUCUCGCCAGACCGCGUCCCUGUGUUCCUGCGUCCCAGAGCCUGGAGCCCUGAUCCAGAGGGGUGGACGGUGAGCACAGAGCCUGGAUCAAAGAUGGCCAAUCCUUUGGGAUGUAUUCUGGAAAAGCGGGAUGACUUUGAUCCACAAACCCUGAAGAGAAAGCGACUCCUUUUCUUUGGCACCGAGACUUGGCCCCAGUACAAAUGGGAGGAGGAAACCUGGCCGCCAGAGGGAAGUACCAGUCGUAACAUCAUCCUCCAACUGGACUUACUCUGUAAACGUGAGGGGAAGUGGAGGAAGUCCCCUACAUCCAGUGUUUUGGGGCCUUAAAAAAAUGAGGUACGUGUAAGCAACGUAAGGUCGAUCCUGGCCUGUUGGCAGCCGUUUCCGAGGGCUCCCGGCCAAGAAGGGGGGGACCUAAGGCCCUGCCUGUACCCACAGCAAACCCAGAGAGAGGAAGGGACGUCUCCUACCUCGGUCUCCUCCUCAUCGGGUCCUCAACGUCCAGACUUACAAACACGCGCUUCUCCCUGCCGCCCACCUUAGCCAGGCCCUGCCCGUAACGUGGCCGACACGUGUCCCCUACAAGAAGCUGGGGUGCAGGAAGGGGGACGCGGGGAGGCACGGCCGUGGAACUUGACAAAAGAGUUAAGUGUGGCCAUAGACCGCCCCCCACACGCUGGAGUCGGGCCCAUCGGGAGCGGACAGUCCAGCACCCGGAGCUACCAAGCCAACAAGGGUAGGACCUGACAAGGGACAAGGGGGAAGGAGGGGGAGGGCGACCAGAACCUUGUAAGACAAGGACUCUUGCCUAGAGGCCCCGGGGAUUCACUUGCAGACGUCCCCCUGUACAGAGAGCUUUCCUGCUGUGCUUCCUUUCUGAUCUGAUACUCUGAUACGCUUCUCAGCUGCUCGUUUUAUUGUGUCCCCCUCUUCAUUCUUCAAAGCAGUGAGACAGCAAACCCGGGUUUUGAGGUAAAAAAGAUCCUCCAACACUAGCAUGAAGUUCUUGGGUGAGCUUGCAAAGUCGUUUCCCCAGAUAUUUUGGUAACCUGGAACCUUAAAGCUUUGCUAAGUUAGAUGAGAAGAUAAAUUCCUUGAGCAUCUGGGUCAUGACUGAAACUAACUGCUGAGCUCAGGGAUCUCCUUUCACUUCCCCCGCUAAAAGGAAGCCAAUGGAUCUUUGGGCCUAUUAGUAAACAUGUUUUCCACAUUAAGCAAAACUGCACGACGAGGAAGCCUGUGUCUCUAGAAAUUGGAAAACCUGAGUACGUUUUAUGAUCUAGAGAAUGCUCCUGUGACGGUUCACAAUUGCUUGUUGGCUUUCACUAGAAAUUAAGGGUUUCUAGGGCUUAAAAAUUCUAAUAUGAUGGAAGCCACUAGAAAUAAUAAGGAAACCUCUCCGUAUGCACAGAAAGUGUGAUUUUGUAAAAAGGAGGGUCGGAGGAAUGGUGAUGUGCUUUUGUCGAGGACAAAGAAACUUGUAGGUUUGUGGAAAAGGAGGCUUUGGAGAGAAAUUUUAACGUGUGGCCAAGCUGGCUAAGAUUACAAUUAAAUUUUAAUAUCAAAAGUAAGUGGCACAAAAUUGGUUUUUGCUCUGAAAAACGAAGUUUUCUUGAACUUCAGGUUUGCUGUUGACAACAGUUGAUAAAAGUUUCUUUACUUUUCAAGUAACCCACCAGAAAGCCAAGAUCUGGUGCCUUACCAGGUCUUUGUUUUCUGGCACUUUGACUAAAUCAGCCACUAAGUACUGUCUCACAAUGGUCUGUGACCCUCUGUAGUCAAGUGUCCAAACGUGUUGAUAUUUUCAACAAACUUACCCAAAUCGAAGUCUAAAUAAGGCCUUUACUGACCUCGAACUAAGUUUUGAGAAUUUCCAGAGGGUCCCUGAACAUCUCCAAAGGUUUGUUCUCACUUACACAAAGAAUGAUGUUCUGCUAAUUAGGCUUAUUUGAUCGUGUUAAAUUCUAUGGAAAGCAUGUGAAAUACAUGAUGACAACCCACUGUGUCGGUAAAUAUUAAUGUUCUGCAAGUUCUGAGAUCCCCACACACCUAGAAUAUCCUGGAUAGCAUCACCAGUCAUAACCACAGUUCUCUCCGAAUGUUACGUUCAGAAAUAAUCAAGUCGCUCUGUCGGUUCCGCGUCACGGACUCCCGUCGGAUCUCUGACAUCGGGAGUCUUGUCGUUGCCCUUUGGUGCCCUGCCAGUGUCCUGCGAAGGCACCUCCCUCCAAGGAGUCACGGAAAGGACUGACAGGAAGGACCUGACAUCGUGAAAGUGAGCGGGAUGAGAAACUCUAGAACUAAUAACGAGGAAUGGAUUCAAGCAGAACAAGUAUUAGAUGGAACCGAAUGGAUUCAGAACUAUAAUUUUACGGCUUCUGCUUUGAAACACUGCCUGUUCUUUACCUUUUUCCAAACUUAAGAAAGCCUUCUCUUUUCUCAUGGGAUCAACAAUUUAAGACAUUGCUUUGUGAACAAAGGUGAACAUUUUUCUCCCUCUUUGGCCCCUCCAGAAUUUGCAAACUUCGUAUUCUUGUGCAAGUGUACUGCCACUCAAAUGAGUGAUUUAGGAAUCCGUUCUUGUAACAGGACAUGAUUGGGAAUGUUGGUUGUAUUACCAGGCUCUCACCACAAGGUCUUAUUUGAGGGAGAUGUAAAGACUCCGAGAUGAUCGGCUUUCAGGAACUAAGGCUGACCUUAAUGGAGCCUAUGAAGGCCUUGCUUACAGGGUUCCUGGCGGCCUGACCCGGUGUGGAGGGAAGGUCACUUCUUGGCAGGCCCAAGAAUCUCAGGAAAUGUUUGGAACCUUGAGAAGAGAGGAAUUCACCCAAAUCUGUAUGUAUUGCAGGCAAAGUCUGAUGAUGGCUCCUUAGCGUGGCUUCUCAGCCUGGAGAGUCUUUCAAAGUUCACGGGAGAUUCCUUAUGGAAAGUCUGAGCAAAGCAGACUUAAAAGUCUGUAUGGUGAGCACUCUUCUUCUGCAGUUAUGUAAAUAACAAGGCCAAGGUACUGAAACUGUGAAAACAGAGUUAGUCUUGCUGUGAAUAUGGGGGUGACUGUAGAGAGAAAUUGUUUCAGUAAUAUGCCUUCGUGGACAGCAGAUUCUAGUGCCGUCAGCGGCCCGUGAGGUUUUGUUUUUACCUGUAAACUGGACUAGAUCCCGAGUUCUUCUAUUUUCUUCCUAUAUUUGGCUGCAACUCUCCAAACUGGCAUUUCCAGUUCACCCCCUCCCCGCCACCAGUCCUUCUGACUCGGAAUCGUUGAGAACCACAACUGCCCUUUCCCUGAAGCCGUGCAGGUUACAGCCGGACACCGUCACAUAAAGUUCAGAGAAACCACAACAGCUCACGUGCGGAUAACUGCCGUGCCUGCUGCUGUGCGGGCCACUCGGAGAGCUCGCCAGACGGCCUCCCUGCAGGCCAGGCCCGUCUGUCUCGUUUCCACUGUCUGCUCCACCCCACCUGAAGAUGCCGCAAGCCGGGCAUCUGGACGUCUGUGCGCCUGGCUGCCUCCGGAACUCACCGAGACCAGAUCUGCUCCCCAAAUUAACCUUCAUUUUUCUUUUGUCUCCCCAGAAAUUCCUCUUAUUAAAUAUCUGAUGACUUGCCCCCAGACCUAACUCGGGAGCCUCCUGAAACGGAGCCGGCUGCUUAACUGAACGGCCCCGUCGUCAGGACUGGGAGGCUGGCUCAGUGACCCGGAGCGGUCCAUCAGCCCAGAAGUUUGAGAGGUGGGACCGAGGCCAGGAGAGGAUAUGCGACCCCCAGAUACGCUGCUCUGGCACGUGGAUUAAAUUGAGCUAAAGACCAUCAGGAUGUAGCAGAUUUAAGAAAAAACUUGCCUCUCGCUUCUUGGAAGGGUUUGGACAGGAGGCCUAGCCCCCGGCGGGAGCUGUUACCGGCUAUGAACUUUUAUCUGAAUGACCCAUCCGCACAGCAGGGCAAACGUGUCAUGACCACAGAUACGUUGUCGUUACGGUCCUGUGAAGCCCCAGGCCUCCACCCCUUCCUCCGCUCAGGACGGCAGAAGCCUCCGCUGCCGGGCUCGUCCCGGGGUCUCAUAUUCUUAUGGGGCCCCUGUGUGUAUGUGAUCAAACUUGUCUCCUGUUAA